GGGGUGGUGGCGAAAUGGCAGACGCAGCGGACUUAAAAUCCGCCGGGUUAACACCCAUGUGGGUUCGAGUCCCACCCGCCCUA
rnacentral:tRNA from 1 species